CCACGCUUCCCAAUGCACACUUCCCCAUCACCAAACCACGACAUGCUCCCAGGCACGUUUUCGUUUUGAAAAACCACGCGUGUGGGGGCAACGUUGAAAUUAAAUGAAACUCCCGGUGGCAGUCGAGUAAUAAUAUGUUGUAGACACUACAGGUCUUUCGAUUCAUAACAGACAGCGGCGUGUGAAGGAAUUUAUAAAAAAAAAAAAAAAAACUAAAACCACCCACCGUUUUUCCCCUCUUAACCGGCAACUAACUAACACUUCUCUUCAUUCUCGGACCCGAUGACCGACUCCGAGGAAUUGACUGCGUUGAAGAAGGCCUACGCCGAUAUAAUACUGAAUACGGCGAAGGAGGCGGCGGCGAGGAUAAUGGUGUCCGAGAGGAAAGCGCAGCGGUAUCAACGUGAGCUGUUUGCCGCGAAAGACGAGUCGCUUCGUAUGCUUCUUAGGCUCAAACAGAUGCUGGAUUCUAAGG
rnacentral:misc_RNA from 1 species